UCUAGUGUAGCCCGCCAUUUUGCCCUGAGGCUAUCUUCCUCAGCUGCUGGGCCACUGCUGCUGCUUUAAGGGAGCCAGCUCCCUGCUCUUCUUCGAGGGUCACUGCCCAGGGUUGGCGCAGCCCUCGAGGGUGAUUUUGUGGUGCUUUCAGCCAGCCCCCAAGAAUUUGGAGAUUUCCCUAGCCCUGGUUCUCACUGCCGGGAUGAGGAAAUUGAGGCUGCUCCAAGGUCAAGCAGCAAUCCCACAGGGCAAGGACUGGGUCAACAUUCUGAGAGGACUGAGGAGAGAGGCAGUUGGGACUAACUGUUGCGUCUCUGGAAGAAGACAAGGUGGUGGAGGUGGCUCUCUCUGAAGGAAAAGACUUUGAAACUGCAAGGAAGUUGGACCAUCUUGAAGGAGUGCUUGAAUAUCAUUAAUCAUGUAAUAAGACAAUUUUGAAGCAAACGUGUGGAAAAACAUAGCCCAAGCCAACCUUCCACUUGAAAUGUGUAGAAAAGCUACCAGGAACCCUAUCAAGAAAAGUAAGUGCUCAGUUUAAUUGGUUGUAUAAUGUAAUGCAUCUUCACUUGUCGGCUUCAAUCCUCCAGAAAUAAUAAUGUCUUCUUAAUUUUGACAGGGUCCAGUUAUUUUUUUUCUUUUUUCCUUUUUCUCUUUUGUUUUGUUUUACAUUUAUCCAUGAAGCUUAAAUCAUAGCACCAGAUGAGGUCUCUAGCAUGUUUAUGCCAUGAUGAAUGUAAUAAGCACAACUAUGUUUCCUAUGAAAUACUAUCAUUAAUAACUAAAAGUUUAACAUCUUUAUGGAUCAGUUAUGGGUUCUGUGCAACUGGAAAAAUGUGAGAAACUCAAUAAGCCUUGCCUAUGACUUAGUUCAUUUUCAGUAUCUAAUUAAAUUCUAUGAUAUACUAUGCAAUUCACCAUGUGAAGGUCAAUCCAGAGCAUGCAGUUUCCAAUAUAGUGUGCUAGAAACUAAGCCUUUUAGAUAUCUUACAUAGCAAACCAAAUAUUCAAUUGUGCAUUUGGGAAAUAUAUGUUCUCAUCUCAAUAUUCAGUUUUAAGAUUGCAGGAGGAAGUCAUAAAAUGUGGACAUUGCAAUAGGGUAUUGCUGAAAUAGGCAAACAUGACAAAUAGAAAAAUAGGAUGCCAAACAUCAUCUUUAUGAGAAGCUACUAGAGUUUAGAUCCUGGAUAAUAAGGAUGGUAUGUGUUCUCUCUAUCCAGUUCUUAGUUUGGAGCAAUGUUAAGAGUGGAUGCUUACUAAUUGUUCAUUGAAACAGCUAGAUAGACACAUUGAUAAUGAUAAAUUUUCUAAUCCCUUUAUAUUUAUACAAUUACAUUAUUCCCAUAUAUGAAUAAAUAAGUAUGUUAGAGGUCAAAAGUAUGAAUGAAAUUGAUGAAUGAAUGAAUGAAAAUUCUUCUCCUUCUAGAUUUAUAUCAUUAUAUCAUACAAAUAAAAAAAUAAAGCAGUCUUUAGAUGUGAAAAAUCUAACUCAUAACUUUAAUUUGGGCAUUCCUAGCCAAGUAGUCAAUGAAUAAACGAACAUUUAUUGUCUACUGUAUGGAAGGCAUUCUGCUAAGUAUUGGAGAUGAAAAUAAUAAGAAAAUUGGUUUCUAUACUUAGGAGCUUCCAAAUGAAGGUGUGCAGGGUAGAGCUUUUUAAAAAUUCCUCUCUGUCUGUCUGUCUGUCUCUCUCUCACACACACACACACACAUUAAAUAGUCCUUCAAUCAGAAGGGAGAGACAACUUUGGUACUGAGCUGGAAUUGAAUAUCAAAGCUGAAAGAAUCUCCAUGAGGAUGAGAUUACUUAUGAUGAGAUUAUAUUAGAGGAGCAGAUUGUUCAUUCAGUCUGAAAAAGAGAAUUUGAUGGCCAAUGAGGUAAUUGGAAAUGAGAAGAUUGGAAAUGGAUUAGGACUUGUUUGGUGAGCAAUAAGAAACAGAAAGUAGAAUAUGUGGAGAAGAAUUGUGAAGUUUAAGGCUUAGAAUUUAGACAAAUCACUACAUAGCUCAGAAAUAACAGAAACCUCAACUCAGGGAGUACCAAUGAAAUAAUUUAUUCACUUUGGCAUCUACUCAACCUAAAACAUCAAAGUCAAUUUGUUGGAACAGCAAUAGCUGAAUUUACUAAAUAUCAAUGACUUAAUAAUGUAGGGAAUGCCUAAUGUAAGAAACAAGAUGUAUGCUACCAGGAUCAUGACCUGUUUACUACUUAAUGUAAUAGGUAGAUAGUAAGGAGUUGUCUGACGGGAAGUUAGAUGGCCUAGUGGUUAGAAUGUUUAGCCCAGAGUUAGGAAAACUCAUUUUCCUGAGUUUAAAUCUGGCUUCAUACAAUAUUUAUGUUACCCUGGGUAAGUCACUCAAGCCUGUUUGCCUCAGUUUCCUCAUCUGAAAAUUUGUUAGAAACAAAAAUGAAAAGUCAUUCUAGUAUCUUUGCGAAGAAAACCCCAAGUUGGGUCACAAAGAGUCAAGUAUAGCUUAAACAAUAAAACAGGGUUGUCUGAAACACAUAGAAUGUGUCACUUGUCCAGAGUUACAAAUACAUUAGAUGUUAUAAAUAUAAGAAUUUAGGUAUCCCUGACCCCAAGAUUACCCUGUGCUGUUUCUCUAUUUAUUCAGCCACACACAAAAAAGUGGGAAACUUCAUAGUUAUAUAAUAUUUAAAGUACCACAGUUUUCCCUCCAGAAAGGACAUCAGAGAUAAUUGAAUCUCAUCAUCUUAUAUAUGCAAGAAGAAAGUUAUGGUUCUUGGUCCAGCAUUAUGCAAUAAAAUGAUGUUUACAGUGAUAGCAUCAAAGAAACCAGGUAAUAUAUAUGUAGCAUAAUUAUUAUAUUUUAUACUUCACAUGAAUAAAUGGAGUAUCAGAGGAAUUCAAUGACUUAUUCAAUGUUACAAAACUAAAAUGUCAGUGGUAGAAUCUGAAAACAGGUCUGAGGAUAUCUGCCCAUUCUUCUUCACAGAGCAUAACUCUAACUGCAACAAAAAGAAUCUAAGAAAGACUUUUCCUUCCUCUGGGAUGAGUAAUGUCUGUAGUCAGUACCCUCCAGGAUAAAAUAUAGGUAAUACAACUGAAUUAUAGUUUCAGAACACUAAAUGAUACCCUAGUGCCCUGUGAGGUUAAUAUACCCUCCAAAAGAGUCAAAGAACAUAAUUCAUAAUCAGAGCAGAUUAUAGGCACUGUCAAAAACAUGUAGGCAACUAUUCUUCAAUUCUAUGAAAUUCUAUGAAACUUGUGUGUGUGCUGAAAAUCAAGAGUUAGUGUCUAGUAAAAAGAAUGUUGAAUCUGUAGUCAGAUAAUUUGUUUUGAAUACAAACCUUUGAAUAUAUGCAGAACUCUCAUCUGUGAAAAGGGGAUACUUAAUAAUAAUAAUAUUAAUAACAUUAUCUUCUAGCAUUAUAAAAUCAAAUGAGAAUGCAGAAAAUAAAAUAUUAAAUACAUGUAAAUUAAAAUUUUAAUGUCUGAAAGUUUGAUGAGAUUUGAAUUUGGCAGCAUUUGGAAUGGAAUAUUCCUUUAGUCUCUUGGUUCUCUGUACCUGUUACAUCUCACUUCUUUGCUUUGUCAAUUUCUGUCCAUCAUUUUGAAUGAGUCAAAUGUUACCUUUUCUAUCAUCUUGUAUGUCAGUUAAGAUCUUUUUCCUGAAAUUUCUGCACUUAUGUGGUUCUCAAUAUUUUUGGUGUUAGUUCUUACCCUUUUGAAAUUAUCA